GACGAACGCUGGCGGCGUGCUUAACACAUGCAAGUCGAACGGAAAGGCCCUGCUUUUGUGGGGUGCUCGAGUGGCGAACGGGUGAGUAACACGUGAGUAACCUGCCCUUGACUUUGGGAUAACUUCAGGAAACUGGGGCUAAUACCGGAUAGGAGCUCCUGCUGCAUGGUGGGGGUUGGAAAGUUUCGGCGGUUGGGGAUGGACUCGCGGCUUAUCAGCUUGUUGGUGGGGUAGUGGCUUACCAAGGCUUUGACGGGUAGCCGGCCUGAGAGGGUGACCGGCCACAUGGGGACUGAGAUCCGGCCCAGACUCCUACGGGAGGCAGCAGUGGGGAAUAUUGCACAAUGGGCGGAAGCCUGAUGCAGCAACGCCGCGUGCGGGAUGACGGCCUUCGGGUUGUAAACCGCUUUCGCCUGUGACGAAGCGUGAGUGACGGUAAGGGGUAAAGAAGCACCGGCUAACUACG
rnacentral:rRNA from 1 species